rnacentral:piRNA from 1 species
UAAGCCAUUUGGCCUAUUGCUCCUUGGA